rnacentral:lncRNA from 1 species
CUGAUUUCGGAGUUUGUCCAGAAUGUCUUGGAUUAUUACAGGCUUUGUCCGGCGCAACUGGCACCGAACUCAGUCCGGUUAAUAAUCAGCUUUGCUCUGCUGUGUCGGCUCUUGCUGAUCUUUCUCCGUAUCUCUCUCUUCCGGGCAUUCUUCAUCCUCUGACCCCACCCGAAAGCCCGAGGGUGGUGGUUCUUCAAUCUUCGGAA